rnacentral:rRNA from 1 species
AGAGUUUGAUCAUGGCUCAGAGUGAACGCUGGCGGCAUGCCUAACACAUGCAAGUCGAACGGUAACAGGCCCGCAAGGGUGCUGACAAGUGGCGGACGGGUGAGGAAUACAUCGGAAUUUGCCCAGUCGUGGGGGAUAACGUAGGGAAACUUACGCUAAUACCGCAUACGACCUAACGGUGAAAGCGGGGGAUCGCAAGACCUCGCGCGGAUGGAUAAGCCGAUGUCGGAUUAGCUAGUUGGCGGGGUAAAGGCCCACCAAGGCGACGAUCCGUAGCUGGUCUGAGAGGAUGAUCAGCCACACUGGGACUGAGACACGGCCCAGACUCCUACGGGAGGCAGCAGUGGGGAAUAUUGGACAAUGGGGGCAACCCUGAUCCAGCAAUGCCGCGUGUGUGAAGAAGGCCUUCGGGUUGUAAAGCACUUUUAUCAGGAACGAAACACGCAGAUCUAAUACGUCUGCGGACUGACGGUACCUGAGGAAUAAGCACCGGCUAACUUCGUGCCAGCAGCCGCGGUAAUACGAAGGGUGCAAGCGUUACUCGGAAUUACUGGGCGUAAAGGGUGCGUAGGUGGUCGUUUAAGUCCGUUGUGAAAUCCCUGGGCUCAACCUGGGAAUGGCAGUGGAUACUGGACGGCUAGAAUGCGGUAGAGGGUAGUGGAAUUCCCGGUAGCAGUGAAAUGCGUAGAGAUCGGGAGGAACACCAGUGGCGAAGGCGGCUACCUGGACCAGCAUUGACACUCAAGCACGAAAGCGUGGGGAGCAAACAGGAUUAGAUACCCCGGUAGUCC